GUGUCAGCCGCCGCGGUAAUACGAGAGGCCCAAACGUUAUUCGGAUUUACUGGGCUUAAAGAGUUCGUAGGCGGCUUGGAAAGUGGGGUGUGAAAGCCCUCGGCUCAACCGAGGAAUUGCGCUCCAAACUGCCGAGCUUGAGGAAGCUAGAGGUGAGCAGAACUGAUGGUGGAGCGGUGAAAUGCGUUGAUAUCAUCAGGAAUACCGGAGGCGAAGGCGGCUCACUGGGACUUUUCUGACGCUGAGGAACGAAAGCUAGGGGAGCAAACGGGAUUAGAAACCCUGGUAGUCC
rnacentral:rRNA from 1 species